GACGAACGCUGGCGGCGUGCCUAAUACAUGCAAGUAGAACGCUGAAGGAGGAGCUUGCUUCUCUGGAUGAGUUGCGAACGGGUGAGUAACGCGUAGGUAACCUGCCUGGUAGCGGGGGAUAACUAAUGGAAACGAUAGCUAAUACCGCAUAAGAGUAGAUGUUGCAUGACAUUUGCUUAAAAGGUGCAAUUGCAUCACUACCAGAUGGACCUGCGUUGUAUUAGCUAGUUGGUGGGGUAACGGCUCACCAAGGCGACGAUACAUAGCCGACCUGGGAGGGUGGACGGCCACACCGGGAACUAGACACGGCCCAGACUCCUUCAGGAGGCAGCAGUAGGGAAUCUUCGGCAAUGGACGGAAGUCUGAACGAGCAACGCCGCGGGAGUGAAGAAGGUUUUCGGAUCGUAAAGCUCUGUUGUAAGAGAAGAACGAGAGUGAGAGUGGAAAGUUCACACUGUGACGGUAACUUACCAGAAAGGGACGGCUAACUACGUG
rnacentral:rRNA from 1 species